UACGGAAGGUCCGGGCGUUAUCCGGAUUUAUUGGGUUUAAAGGGAGCGCAGGCGGGACGCUAAGCGUGUUGUGAAAUGUACCGGCUCAACCGGUGAACUGCAGCGCGAACUGGUGUUCUUGAGUGAGUACGACGCGGACGGAAUUCGUGGUGUAGCGGUGAAAUGCUUAGAUGUCACGAAGAACCCCGAUUGCGAAGGCAGUCCGCGAGUCCUUUACUGACGCUAAAGCUCGAAGGUGCGGGUAUCGAAC
rnacentral:rRNA from 1 species